AAUAGAUACCCAGGUAGUCCACGCCGUAAACGAUGGAUGCUAGCUGUUAUGCGUAUCGACCCGUGUAGUAGCGAAGCUAACGCGUUAAGCAUCCCGCCUGGGGAGUACGAACGCAAGUUUAAAACUCAAAGGAAUUGACGGGGACCCGCACAAGCGGUGGAGCGUGUUCUUUAAUUCGAGGCUAAGCGAAGAACCUUACCAGGGCUUGACAUCCUUGGAAUUUCUCCGAAAGGAGAGAGUACUUUAUUGGACCAAGUGACAGGUGCUGCAUGGCCGUCGUCAGCUCGUGUCGUGAGAUGUUGGUUAAGUCCAUUAACGAGCGCAACCCUUAUGAAUAGUUGUAUUUUUCUAUUCAGACUGCCCCGGUAACGGGGAGGAAGGGGGGGAUGAUGUCAGGUCAGUAUUGCCCUUACGCCCUGGGCUAGAAACGCGCUACAAUGGCCGGUACAAUGCGCUGCCAACCCGCGAGGGGGAGCAAAUCGCAUCAAAAGCCGGUCCCAGUUCGGAUAAGAGGCUGAAACUCGCCUCUUUGAAGCCGGAAUCGCUAGUAAUCGU
rnacentral:rRNA from 1 species